rnacentral:tRNA from 1 species
CAAGAGAUAGUUUAUGUAGAAUAUCAGCUUUGGGUGCUGGUGGUAGGGCUUGAGCCUUUCUCUUGA